rnacentral:rRNA from 1 species
GGGGGCAGCCGGUGAAGAGGGGAAAGAGGCGGCGUUCGUAUACAUGCAAGUCGAACGCUUUUUCUUUCACCGGAGCUUGCUCCACCGAAAGAAAAAGAGUGGCAAACGGGUGAGUAACACGUGGGUAACCUGCCCAUCAGAAGGGGAUAACACUUGGAAACAGGUGCUAAUACCGUAUAACACUAUUUUCCGCAUGGAAGAAAGUUGAAAGGCGCUUUUGCGUCACUGAUGGAUGGACCCGCGGUGCAUUAACUAGUUGGUGAGGUAACGGCUCACCAAGGCAACGAUGCAUAGCCGACCUGAGAGGGUGAUCGGCCACACUGGGACUGAGACACGGCCCAGACUCCUACGGGAGGCAGCAGUAGGGAAUCUUCGGCAAUGGACGAAAGUCUGACCGAGCAACGCCGCGUGAGUGAAGAAGGUUUUCGGAUCGUAAAACUCUGUUGUUAGAGAAGAACAAGGAUGAGAGUAAAAUGUUCAUCCCUUGACGGUAUCUAACCAGAAAGCCACGGCUAACUACGUGCCAGCAACCGCGGUAAUACGUACGUGGCAAGCGUUGUCCGGAUUUAUUGGGCGUAAAGCGAGCGCAGGCGGGUUUCUUAAGUCUGAUGUGAAAGCCCCCGGCUCAACCGGGGAGGGUCAUUGGAAACUGGGAGACUUGAGUGCAGAAGAGGAGAGUGGAAUUCCAUGUGUAGCGGUGAAAUGCGUAGAUAUAUGGAGGAACACCAGUGGCGAAGGCGGCUCUCUGGUCUGUAACUGACGCUGAGGCUCGAAAGCGUGGGAGCGAACAGGAUUAGAUACCCUGGUAGUCCACGCCGUAAACGAUGAGUGCUAAGUGUUGGAGGGUUUCCGCCCUUCAGUGCUGCAGCAAACGCAUUAAGCACUCCGCCUGGGGAGUACGACCGCAAGGUUGAACUCAAAGGAAUUGACGGGUCCGGCACAGCGGUGGAGCAUGUUGUUUAAUUCGAACACGGCGAAGAACCUUACCAGGUCUUGACAUCCUUGACCACUUCUGAGAUAAGCUUCCCUUUCGGGCAAGUGACAGUGGUGCAUGAUGUCCCACUCUCUGUCUU